ACUCCAACGUGUUUAUGGUUC
rnacentral:misc_RNA from 1 species